rnacentral:tRNA from 1 species
GCGGAUGUGGCGGAAUUGGCANNCACUAGACUUAGGAUCUAGCGGGUUACCGUGGGGGUUCGAGUCCCUUCAUCCGCA